CUGAGCCCAAAUCAAGUGUCAGAUGCUCAACCGGCUGAGCCACCCAGGCGCUUCCCUAACCUGGUUCUUGAUACACAGUAGAUGCUUAGAAAAUGCUGUUCUGACAACCCCAGCCCCAAGUGCUGUACCCGACAUCUAUUUCGUGCCAGGAGAUGCCACCUCUCUACUUAACUUCUCAUACAUCUCCUAACUGUACUAGAAGAAAAUACUGAAAUCCCAGUUCUGCCCCUUCCAUGCUGAGUGAUCUUUGGCCGGUCCCUUUCCCUCUCUGAACCACACAGUUCUCCACCUGCAAAACAGGUGGAGAGGUUCUGCCCUGUGGGGGGCUCUGCCCCCUGUCCCGAGAGGGCCUGUGACCCCAGGCACGGCCUCGACCCGGCCCCGGAGCCUUACCGAUGCUCUCUGUCUGCAGGUAGCACUUGUUGCCCAGACAGUACCGCCACAGGCCCUGGUGGGCGAAGGACCCGGACAGCCGGUACUGCAUCCAGUGAUCUGUCGCUGUGGCCACCACCAGGAGGAUGGUCCCCACCCAGGCACAGAAGAGGCCGCCACCCAUGAAGCUGUACAUGGUGAUCUAUGGAGAAGGCGAGAGACAGACAGACAGACAGACAGCUCUACCAGAACUUCAGCAUCAGACAGAACCCAGCUCCAGGCUGCCUCGCUCACGGUCCUGUGCUGGAUGAUGCUGAUGGCUCGGAGGUAUCACCGGUCCUUGAAGGGCUGACUUGAGGGGUGGGGGACAGGCACAGAGAUGGACGACGGUAGCAUUCCAGGGCGAUCAGAGCCGGGACACUGGAACAGGCCAGUGAGAGCCCCAAGCCCGGGAGGGAAGGGAAUGCCGCCUGGGGGCAAAGGGGUGACGUGAGGGAAGGGGGUCAGGAAAACUUUGCUGCCUGCCAGCAAGGGGCAGGGUUGGUUGGUUGUUUGGUUUCGGUUUUGGUUUUUUGUGUGUUUUGUUUUGUUUAGGGGAGGUGGCCUUUGGGCUAGGUCUAGAGUGAGAAGAAAUGGUGUGAGCAAAGACCAGGUGGCUGGACCGAAAAGAUUUUAUCAUUGAAGCCAAGACUUUCUCAGCGAGUGUGAUUAGGAUUUGGGUCUCAUCCUUUGGUUAUGUCGUAUCCCAAAGAGGCGUGGCUAUUUUGUCGAGACAGGGCUUGGAAAUGAAGGUUCGAAUCCCCGCUCCGCUACUUACAAGUCCGUGACCUAAAGCAAACUGCUUAAACUUUUGGGGUCCCCUGUUUCUUCGAGAGAUAGCCCUCCUGGUCAAUUCCAACAUAUGGAAUGGCUUUCGAUUUUGUUCUGCUACUGUUUCUAUUUCUGUGAAGAGGUCCGACGUCGACUUACCAAGGACCUGGCCCUUUAAGGCCCUCCUCCCACGCUAGGGAGCGGAGGCGGGCUCUAGUGUCUCUAAGGGAAUGUCCUGCAUCCGUUUUCCAACAUUGGGAGGCAAGUUCUGCAAGUGACCAAUCAACUCCUGCGUCGGGGGCAGCGAAACUUCCGAUUCGUGGGGAAACUCCAGCAGCGUUGCGUUUGAGCUCCGCCCACUCCGUGUUAGACAGCCGCGCGAGACAGUCAUUCUCGGCUCUGAUUGAGUCCCGGAUAACACCGUCCUCGCUCCCUCCGAGUCCCAAGUCUUUAUUGGCCAACAUCUCUUCUGGGCUUCUCAAUUUUCUGCCUGGCAAGUAGCAACCAUCCCCCAUGAGAGCUUUCGGUGAAGCAAUUAGGACUCUGACCUCUGGGGAAGGAGGAAGGACCUGCUCCCCUCGGAGAAAUAGACCCAUCUUCUCUCUUCACCGGCUGGUCGAUUCGGAGUGCAUGGUGAGCUUUGCUUUCCAUUACAUUUUGAGAGGGUUCCCAGUACCAUGCCCUCCUGCGAUCGUUCUUCCUCAGGUUCAUGGGUUGCAGGGCACAAUUGCGCCCAGUCUCCACGUGGUGUCCUUGCCCUGAGGGACUUCCUGUCUUGUCUCCCAGCAGGACAUCUUUGUGGUGGCUGCUCUUGAACUCACUCUGAACAUCUGCUUCUGUUCCUCUUCUGUAAAAAUAAGUGGCUGUGUUUACUUUAGGUGAAGAUUCUGCAAACUCUUCCUGCAGACGCCCAGACAGCAGACAUCUCGGACUCAGCUCUGCCUGCCGUGGGCCAGAGUCCUGCAUAAAAGAAUGGGCGCGACUGUGAUCCAAUAAAGCUUUAUUUAUGGACACCGGAA